GUUUGGAGUGGAUAGAUUUGAUGCUAUUCUUCCUCCAGGACAGGGUGCUAUAAUGGCCGUUGGAGCUUCGAAACCGACUGUAGUUGCUGAUAAGGAUGGGUUCUUCAGUGUGAAAAACAAAAUGCUGGUGAAUGUGACAGCAGAUCAUCGUAUUGUCUACGGAGCUGAUUUGGCUGCUUUCCUUCAAACCUU